rnacentral:lncRNA from 1 species
AUGCGUUCCUACCCCAAAGGGAAAAAAAAUGGUGUUUUUAGGUUGACUCCUGGGCCUUCUCAAACUAGUUUCGACCAGAGUUCAGUGAGAGACUCAGCAGACUUUGGCUCUGUUGGGAGUCGCUGCAACCUGAUGACCUCUGCAGCCACAGACAAAGAUGACCAGGAUCCCACAGAGAAGGCAGAGAGGGUGGAAACAAGAGGAUCCCCCUCAGGCCUCCCCACUUUUCUCAUACAAGGCUUCGACAGGAUCGUGAAAAACUGCCAAGGACAGCUCUGCCUGUGCCGCCGCGGUCCUGCACUGGCGGGGGCCCUAGCAUCUUAACUGUCAGCACGAAGCUCAAGCUCGCACAGGAAGACCUUCCUCUCCCGGCUGCACCACCCUUGUCUGUGGCCAGCGCGCCUCAGGUGACGCUCGAAGACGCGAAAAUACCCUUCCAGACAAAGCUAACUACACGCUGAGAUGCCGGCCCCCAGGAGAAGGGUGUCGCCGCCCAGCCAGCAGGUCCGCGCGCAUCAGGAGGGGCAACCUCCUCGUGACUCCGUCCCCCGGAAGGCGACUGCACCCGCAAACCACACCGGGCCCGCAGGGGCCCCAGGGCGCCCGCGCGCCCCGCUCACCUGUGCGGCCUCGCGGCCCGGCCCAGCACGG